CUCUAUGUCAUCUCUGUGCUUUAGUUCAGCAGCGUUGUUAGGCAGCAGGGUAACUGGAUUGUAGUGGGAGCGGAAUCUGAGUGGGCUGUUGCUGCUGGAAUCGAGGAUGGAGUUGGCGGUGGACGGGUAUCUGGCUGUUCCCUUACUCUUUACCCUGCUGGCGGUCUUGGCUGCCUCUUUGUAUCUGAAAUUCAGAGCUUCGGAUGAGACCGCCAAGAACGAGGCAGCGAGUUCCAAAGUUAACGAGAACAAUGCCGAAGAAAAGCCGAAAAGCGAGACAGAGAAUGAGAGAAAACCCGAAGAUGUGAGCGAGGAGGUGGGGGUCGGGGAAUCGGAGCCAGCCAAAGCGAAGCUGACGGUGGAAGAGGUCGGGGCGGCGGAUGGGCAGCAGGAGCCUGCGCCUUCCCAGGAGAGGGAGAGCCAAGUAAAGCAAGAGCCCACUCGCCCAGAGGAAAAACUUAAGGAAGCUGAAGAAGGGAUUGAAAGCACAAAAAAAUCUCCUGAAGAUGGAGCAGAGAUUGAAAGUACCAAAACAACUCUUCCUGAUGAUGCCACUGAUGACCUAGUUGAUGAGUAUCGUCCAGGCAAGGUUCAACGUAGCAGCUAUGAAAAAACAUUGACUAAAGAACAACUGGAGGAAGAGAAACGGGUUGAGUUAACCCCUGACCUCACCUCCGUAUAGGUUCUAGGCCUGAUGACGCUUUGUGUAACCAUGUUUUGCAUGAUGCUACAUACACUAGGAUGCACCGAAUCUCUGAGCAGAAGAGUAGAACCGAUUUGGGAGUCUUAAACGUGAAUUAUCUGAGUGGUUGGGGGCUUGAAUUUUACGAGACGUCAAGCCAAAAAAAAAACAUGAAGCUUAUCUUCAGUAGGGAGAUGCUGUUAAAGAUUCUGUAAUAGAUGUUGCAAUAGAAUCUAAUAUAAUAGAAAGCAUUUACAUUAUUGUCAUUUAUAAAUCACAGCUUUGUGUUACGAACUAAUGCAGAUUAUCAAACAAUGUUAAGUUUAUUCACAGUAAGCCUUGUAUCUUUGUAACUAAUGCAAGACACCCAUUUUAUUUUGCUCACCAAUGCAAAAAUUUGGUUAAGCCUCUAAAAGGAAAAUUUGUUACAGGGUUGAAGUACAUAACUAGUUUGAAUGUUCUAGUUCAGAGACUUGGAUUUGUAAUUCUGAAACAGCAACAUUUGUUUAUUUUAUUACAUGUCGGUACUUCUGAUGUUUAAUAAAGUCUCCAAAGGUUACCAUUGUAA